rnacentral:lncRNA from 1 species
CAACAGAGGAAGGCCUACAGAUUCCCUUUUCAAAAGUUGACAUUAAAACUGAUCCAUUAAAUCCCAUAUGAUGAGACAUGUAUUUCCUUGUGAGAGCCCUUUGUAACCCCUUUACCCGUGCUAGGCCCUAAUAUCAUCCAAGGGUUUCCUUUAUGUACAGCUAAGAAGCAGGAUGGGGCUGUUGCCAUGGAAAUGCAGCCCCUGAAGAGUGCCGAGGGUGGGGAAAUGGAGGAGCGGGAAAAGAAGAAAGCCAACGUACCCAAGAAGGAGAAGUCAGUCCUGCAAGGGAAGCUCACAAAACUGGCUGUGCAGAUUGGGAAAGCAGGAUUGGUGAUGUCUGCUAUCACUGUCAUCAUUCUGGUCCUCUACUUUGUGAUUGAGACCUUCGUUGUGGAUGGCCGGGUGUGG